GUGUGGGGCUGGGACCUGGGAGCCAGAAGGUUUUCCACUUCCUGGGGGAAGUCCCUGAUCUGUUUGUAUCCAAGAGAAAGAGAAGAGAGACCAAGAGGGAGACAGAGGGAGGCAGACAGGCAGGGAGAGACACAGAGAAAGAGAUAAACCAGAGUCAGAGACAGGCAGAGGGUGGGCAGAACCUUUUCCAGCACCCCCAGCAGGCGCCCGGCCCCAGCCACUACCCUCCCCGCCCCCUCGGCCAGAUGUGAAGAUCCAGGCUCAGAGAGGACUGCGUUGGAUACGGGUGGCGAGCGUGAACCUCCUUGCCCUGUUCCCUCUGUUACGGGGAAAGCGUCUAGUCUUUCCGCAUCGAGUACAAUGUUAACUGCAAGUCCUGAGGAUUAGAAUGUGAACAUCUUUAGGGAACCGUUAUUCCACGACCACAGCCUGUUAAAUAUGAUGGCUAACAUUGAUUGAUUGAUUCUUGAAUACUGAACCCGCUAUGCAUCCCUGGAGUAAACCCCACUCAGUCAUGCUCGCCCUGAGAAGGGAUCUGCGCUGACAGUGUGGAGCCUGCUUGGGAUUCUCUUUUCUCUCUCUCACUCUCUUCUCCUCCCCCGCUCACGCACGCACUCUCUCUCUCUCAAAAAAAAAAAAUGAAUUGGAAAAUGUUCCC